rnacentral:rRNA from 1 species
CAGGCCUAACACAUGCAAGUCGAACGAUAAGCUACUUCGGUAGUGGACAGUGGCAGACGGGUGAGUAACGCGUGGGGAUCUGCCCAGAGGUUCGGGACAACCAUUGGAAACGAUGGCUAAUACCGGAUAAGCCCGCAAGGGGAAAGAUUUAUCGCCUUUGGAUGAACCCGCGUAAGAUUAGCUAGUUGGUGAGGUAAUGGCUCACCAAGGCUACGAUCUUUAGCUGGUCUGAGAGGAUGAUCAGCCACAUUGGGACUGAGACACGGCCCAGACUCCUACGGGAGGCAGCAGUGGGGAAUAUUGCGCAAUGGGCGAAAGCCUGACGCAGCCAUGCCGCGUGAGUGACGAAGGCCUUAGGGUUGUAAAGCUCUUUCGCUAGGGAAGAUAAUGACGGUACCUAGUAAAGAAGCCCCGGCUAACUCCGUGCCAGCAGCCGCGGUAAUACGGAGGGGGCUAGCGUUGUUCGGAAUCACUGGGCGUAAAGCGCGCGUAGGCGGACUGAUUAGUUGGGGGUGAAAUCCCGGAGCUCAACUCCGGAACUGCCUUCAAUACUGUCAGUCUUGAGGUCGAGAGAGGUAAGUGGAAUUCCGAGUGUAGAGGUGAAAUUCGUAGAUAUUCGGAAGAACACCAGUGGCGAAGGCGACUUACU